rnacentral:rRNA from 1 species
CCUACGGGAGGCAGCAGUGGGGAAUAUUGCACAAUGGGGGAAACCCUGAUGCAGCGACGCCGCGUGAGUGAAGAAGUAAUUCGUUAUGUAAAGCUCUAUCAGCAGGGAAGAAAAUGACGGUACCUGAGUAAGAAGCUCCGGCUAACUACGUGCCAGCAGCCGCGGUAAUACGUAGGGGGCCAGCGUUAUCCGGAUUUACUGGGCGUAAAGGGAGCGUAGACGGCAGUGCAAGUCUGGAGUGAAAGGCGGGGGCUCAACCCUCGGACUGCUCUGGAAACUGUACGGCUGGAGUGCAGGAGAGGUAAGUGGAAUUCCUAGUGUAGCGGUGAAAUGCGUAGAUAUUAGGAAGAACACCAGUGGCGAAGGCGGCUUACUAGACUGUAACUGACGUUGAGGCUCGAAAGCGUGGGGAGCAAACAGGAUUAGAUACCCUGGUAGUC